GGCGUAAAAUAGGAAUCUUUUGAGAUUGGUAUUCUCUUUCUUCCUUGCGCCAAAACUCUUCCACGCACAUCUAGCCUCAUGCAGCCCUUUUCUCCCUUCCAUUUGAUUUUGGGCGUUGGGUUCCCCAUGUACUCACACACACAUACAAAAUUGGGCCAACAGCCAGUGGUCCUUGGUCAUGGUCGGCGCGGGGCACGAGGCAUAUGAUCUUUCUGUUCUUUUGGACCUCACAACGACCUUGG
rnacentral:lncRNA from 1 species